GCAGUCGUGGCCGAGUGGUUAAGGCGUCUGACUAGAAAUCAAAUUCCCUCUGGGAGCGUAGGUUCGAGUCCUACCGACUGCG
rnacentral:tRNA from 1 species